rnacentral:rRNA from 2 species
UGGUGGGUAGUUUGACUGGGGCGGUCUCCUCCUAAAGAGUAACGGAGGAGCACGAAGGUUGGCUAAUCCUGGUCGGACAUCAGGAGGUUAGUGCAAUGGCAUAAGCCAGCUUGACUGCGAGCGUGACGGCGCGAGCAGGUGCGAAAGCAGGUCAUAGUGAUCCGGUGGUUCUGAAUGGAAGGGCCAUCGCUCAACGGAUAAAAGGUACUCCGGGGAUAACAGGCUGAUACCGCCCAAGAGUUCAUAUCGACGGCGGUGUUUGGCACCUCGAUGUCGGCUCAUCACAUCCUGGGGCUGAAGUAGGUCCCAAGGGUAUGGCUGUUCGCCAUUUAAAGUGGUACGCGAGCUGGGUUUAGAACGUCGUGAGACAGUUCGGUCCCUAUCUGCCGUGGGCGCUGGAGAACUGAGGGGGGCUGCUCCUAGUACGAGAGGACCGGAGUGGACGCAUCACUGGUGUUCGGGUUGUCAUGCCAAUGGCACUGCCCGGUAGCUAAAUGCGGAAGAGAUAAGUGCUGAAAGCAUCUAAGCACGAAACUUGCCCCGAGAUGAGUUCUCCCUGACUCCUUGAGAGUCCUGAAGGAACGUUGAAGACGACGACGUUGAUAGGCCGGGUGUGUAAGC